rnacentral:rRNA from 1 species
GAUGAACGCUGGCGGCGUGCCUAAUACAUGCAAGUCGAGCGAACAGACGAGGAGCUUGCUCCUCUGACGUUAGCGGCGGACGGGUGAGUAACACGUGGAUAACCUACCUAUAAGACUGGGAUAACUUCGGGGAACCGGAGCUAAUACCGGAUAAUAUAUUGAACCGCAUGGUUCAAUAGUGAAAGACGGUUUUGCUGUCCCUUAUAGAUGGAUCCGCGCCGCAUUAGCUAGUUGGUAAGGUAACGGCUUACCAAGGCAACGAUGCGUAGCCGACCUGAGAGGGUGAUCGGCCACACUGGAACUGAGACACGGUCCAGACUCCUACGGGAGGCAGCAGUAGGGAAUCUUCCGCAAUGGGCGAAAGCCUGACGGAGCAACGCCGCGUGAGUGAUGAAGGUCUUCGGAUCGUAAAACUCUGUUAUUAGGGAAGAACAAAUGUGUAAGUAACUAUGCACGUCUUGACGGUACCUAAUCAGAAAGCCACGGCUAACUACGUG